ACCGGCAAACGGGUGCGGAACACGUACACAACCUUCCUAUAAGUGGGGAAUAGCCCAGAGAAAUUUGGAUUAAUACCCCGUAACAUAACGAUGUGGCAUCACAUUGUUAUUAUAGCUUCGGCGCUUAUUGAUGGGUGUGCGGCUGAUUAGAUAGUUGGCGGGGUAACGGCCCACCAAGUCUACGAUCAGUAGCUGAUGUGAGAGCAUGAUCAGCCACACGGGCACUGAGACACGGGCCCGACUCCUACGGGAGGCAGCAGUAAGGAAUAUUGGUCAAUGGACGCAAGUCUGAACCAGCCAUGCCGCGUGAAGGAUUAAGGUCCUCUGGAUUGUAAACUUCUUUUAUCUGGGACGAAAAAAGGCUUUUCUAAGUCACUUGACGGUACCAGAUGAAUAAGCACCGGCUAACUCCGUGCCAGCAGCCGCGGUAAUAUGGAGGGUGCAAGCGUUAUCUGGAUUCACUGGGUUUAAAGGGUGCGUAGGCGGGCAGGUAAGUCAGUGGUGAAAUCCUGGAGCUUAACUCCAGAACUGCCAUUGAUACUAUCUGUCUUGAAUAUUGUGGAGGUAAGCGGAAUAUGUCAUGUAGCGGUGAAAUGCUUAGAUAUGACAUAGAACACCUAUUGCGAAGGCAGCUUACUACGCAUAUAUUGACGCUGAGGCACGAAAGCGUGGGGAUCAAACAGGAUUAGAUACCCUGGUAGUCCACGCCCUAAACGAUGGAUACUCGACAUACGCG
rnacentral:rRNA from 1 species